rnacentral:rRNA from 1 species
UACGUAGGGUGCAAGCGUUGUCCGGAAUUAUUGGGCGUAAAGAGCUCGUAGGCGGUUUGUCGCGUCGAAUGUGAAAUCCCGGGGCUCAACCCCGGGCCUGCAUUCGAUACGGGCAGACUAGAGUUCGGUAGGGGAGUCUGGAAUUCCUGGUGUAGCGGUGAAAUGCGCAGAUAUCAGGAGGAACACCAGUGGCGAAGGCGGCUCUCUGGGCCCUACCUGACGCUGAGACGCGAAAGCGUGGGGAGCGAACCGG